GGGCUAUUAGCUCAAUUGGUAGAGCAGCUGACUCUUAAUCAGGAGGUUGCAGGUUCGAGUCCUGCAUGGCCCACCA
rnacentral:tRNA from 1 species